GGUUAAGUUAACAAGGGCGCAUGGUGAAUGCCUUGGCACUAGGAGCCGAUGAAGGACGGGACUAACACCGAUAUGCUUCGGGGAGCUGUACGUAAGCUAUGAUCCGGAGAUUUCCGAAUGGGGCAACCCAGCAGUUUUAAUCAACUGUUACCACUAGAUGAAUUCAUAGUCUAGUUGGAGGUAAACGCUGUGAACUGAAACAUCUCAUUAGCAGCAGGAAUAUAAAGAAAUUUCGAUUCCCUAAGUAGCGGCGAGCGAACGGGGAACAGCCCAAACCAAAGUGCUUGCACUUUGGGGUUGUAGGACUGAACAUUUGAGUUACCAAAGAACUUGAUAGUCGAAGGAUUUGGGAAAAUCCGCCAUAGAUGGUGAUAGCCCAGUAGAUUAAAUCAAAUUCUCUCAGUUCAGGAUCCUGAGUACGGCGGAACACGUGAAAUUCCGUCGGAAUCCGGGAGGACCAUCUCCCAAGGCUAAAUACUACCUAGUGACCGAUAGUGAACCAGUACCGUGAGGGAAAGGUGAAAAGCACCCCGGGAGGGGAGUGAAAUAGUUCCUGAAACCAUGUGCCUACAAUAAGUCAGAGCGCGUUAAUGCGUGAUGGCGUGCCUUUUGUAGAAUGAACCGGCGAGUUAUGAUCCCGUGCAAGGUUAAGACUAAAAAGUCGGAGCCGUAGCGAAAGCGAGUCUGAAAUGGGCGAUUUGAGUACGAGGUUAUAGACCCGAAACCAGGUGACCUAUCCAUGUCCAGGUUGAAGGUGCGGUAAAACGCACUGGAGGACCGAACCCGUGUAAGUUGAAAAUUGCUGGGAUGAGGUGUGGAUAGCGGUGAAAUUCCAAACGAACUUGGAGAUAGCUGGUUCUCUCCGAAAUAGCUUUAGGGCUAGCCUCGGAUUAAGGAUCAUGGAGGUAGAGCACUAUUUGGACUAGGGGCCCGUCUUGGGUUACUGAAUUCAGAUAAACUCCGAAUGCCAUUGAUUCAUGUCCGGGAGUCAGACGAUGAGUGAUAAGAUCCACCGUCGAAAGGGGAACAGCCUAGACCAUCAGUUAAGGUCCCUAAAUGUAUGCUAAGUGGAAAAGGAUGUGGAGUUGCAUAGACAACUAGGAUGUUGGCUCAGAAGCAGCCACCAUUUAAAGAGUGCGUAAUAGCUCACUAGUCGAGUGAUCCUGCGCCGAAAAUGUACCGGGGCUAAGCAUACUACCGAAACCAUGGAUGCGACCAUUAGGUCGCGUGAUAGGAGAGCGUUCUAAGGGCGGUGAAGCAAGAUCGUGAGGACUUGUGGAGCGCUUAGAAGUGAGAAUGCCGGUAUGAGUAGCGAAAGAUAGGUGAGAAUCCUAUCCACCGAAUGACUAAGGUUUCCUGGGGAAGGCUCGUCCUCCCAGGGUUAGUCGGGACCUAAGUCGAGGCCGAGAGGCGUAGACGAUGGAUAACAGGUUGAGAUUCCUGUACUAGUUAAGUGCGUUUGAGCAAUGGAGGGACGCAGGAGGCUAAGAUGUGCAUUCUGUUGGAUUAGAAUGUCCAAGCAGUAAGUCUUGUGGAGAGUCAAAUGCUUUUCACUUUAAGGACAAGCUGUGAUGGGGAGCGAAAUUUAGUAGCGAAGCGUCUGAUGUCACACUGCCGAGAAAAGCUUCUAGUGAGUACUUAACUACCCGUACCGCAAACCGACACAGGUAGUCGAGGAGAGAAUCCUAAGGUGAGCGAGUGAACUCUCGUUAAGGAACUCGGCAAAAUGACCCCGUAACUUCGGGAGAAGGGGUGCUGAUCGCAAGAUCAGCCGCAGUGAAUAGGCCCAGGCGACUGUUUAUCAAAAACACAGGUCUCUGCAAAAUCGUAAGAUGACGUAUAGGGGCUGACGCCUGCCCGGUGCUGGAAGGUUAAAAGGAUGGGUUAGCUUCGGCGAAGCUCAGAAUUGAAGCCCCAGUAAACGGCGGCCGUAACUAUAACGGUCCUAAGGUAGCGAAAUUCCUUGUCGGGUAAGUUCCGACCCGCACGAAAGGCGUAACGAUCUGGGCACUGUCUCAACGAGAGACUCGGUGAAAUUAUAUUGUCCGUGAAGAUGCGGACUACCCGCGACAGGACGGAAAGACCCCAUGGAGCUUUACUGUAGCUUGAUAUUGAGUGUUUGUACAGCUUGUACAGGAUAGGUAGGAGCCAUAGAAACCGGAACGCUAGUUUCGGUGGAGGCGUUGGUGGGAUACUACCCUCGCUGUAUGACCACUCUAACCCGCACCACUAAUCGUGGUGGGAGACAGUGUCAGGUGGGCAGUUUGACUGGGGCGGUCGCCUCCUAAAAAGUAACGGAGGCGCCCAAAGGUUCCCUCAGAAUGGUUGGAAAUCAUUCGCAGAGUGUAAAGGCACAAGGGAGCUUGACUGCGAGACAGACAGGUCGAGCAGGGACGAAAGUCGGGCUUAGUGAUCCGGUGGUACCGUAUGGAAGGGCCAUCGCUCAACGGAUAAAAGCUACCCUGGGGAUAACAGGCUUAUCUCCCCCAAGAGUCCACAUCGACGGGGAGGUUUGGCACCUCGAUGUCGGCUCAUCGCAUCCUGGGGCUGUAGUCGGUCCCAAGGGUUGGGCUGUUCGCCCAUUAAAGCGGUACGCGAGCUGGGUUCAGAACGUCGUGAGACAGUUCGGUCCCUAUCCGUCGCGGGCGUAGGAAAUUUGAGAGGACCUGUCCUUAGUACGAGAGGACCGGGAUGGACAUACCUCUGGUGUACCAGUUGUGCCGCCAGGCGCAUCGCUGGGUAGCUACGUAUGGAUGUGAUAAACGCUGAAAGCAUCUAAGUGUGAAACACACCUCGAGAUGAGAUUUCCCAUUCCUUUAUGGAAGUAAGACCCCUGAAAGAUGAUCAGGUAGAUAGGUUAGAAGUGGCAGUGCGGUGACGCAUGAAGCGGACUAAUACUAAUCGGUCGAGGACUUAACCAA
rnacentral:rRNA from 1 species